GCCCCGGUGGCCCAGUGGUUAAGCAACUGGCCUUGUAAACAGGAUGGUACAGGUUCGAUUCCCGGGUGGAGCU